UACAGAGGUGGCAAGCGUUGUUCGGAUUUAUUGGGCGUAAAGGGUUCGUAGGCGGACCGGAAAGUCAGAUGUGAAAUCCCACGGCUCAACUGUGGAACUGCAUUUGAAACUUCCGGACUAGAGUGUGAGAGGGGUAAAGGGAAUUCCCGGUGUAAGGGUGAAAUCUGCAGAGAUCGGGAGGAACACCAGUCGCGAAGGCGCUUUACUGGCUCACUACUGACGCUCAGGAACGAAAGCUAGGGUAGCAAACGGG
rnacentral:rRNA from 1 species